UAAGAUUUGUUCAAGUAAUGCCCGGUUUACACUUUGUUAAGUUAACACUGCAGGUGAUUAGUUCAGGUGUUUAGUAAUCAAGGUGUGAACGGAAGCGUAAAGUGAUUAGUGUUAAGUGAUACGUGCGAUUAGUACUUAUUGAUUAGUGCGAGUGAAUAGAAUCAAGGUCUAUUUUUGUUGUUAAGUGACUACCCCUCUCAACUUUUCUACUACCCUCUCUCGCAAUUUGCCUGUACUAAUCAGUGUGUAAAUACGUGUGUGUUAAGUGUGCAGUGUCAAGUUCAAAGCGAAAAUGAAGUGGACGGAACAACAUACUUUAUAAUUCGUACAAGAAUACAUAAAGUUUGAAUGCCUAUACAAUGUUAAGUGCGCAGAAUUUAAAAACAAACAGUUGAGAGAUGCGGCCCUAUUGAAACUGAGUGAAGCGAUGGGAAUUCCCGAUUUCAAAAUUGAGUUCAUUUUCUAUAUCAGAUACCACAACAGAUACAAUCUCCUUAAUUAUUUGUUCAUCUUCCAUUUCUAGAGACACUAUGCACAACGCACAGUACCACUAUGAGCUUCUUCCUAAACACUGUGUAAACGGAGAUGGAAAAGACUACUUAACACUUGAGACUUAUCGCGUAAAGUUAACGCUUAACACUUAUCACUUCACACUUCGCAAAGUGUAAACCGGCCUUAAAGC
rnacentral:lncRNA from 1 species